GGGAUGGCAAAAAAAUUCCAGAUGUGAUUGCCAAGUGCAACCUCCUUCCAGAGAUGUACCAAGCAAAUGAAUUCCCUUUUGGUGCAUGGAGCAAGAAACAAUUUGAAUUCAGAAAAGCUGGCCUAUCAAUGUAUGAACCAAUGGAUUCUGCUGAACCAAAAAAUAUAUGGCCAUAUAUCAUUACAAAGCGAUGCAGAGGGAAGAUGUUUGCUCAACUAAGGGAUUCCUUAUCAUGGGACGAUGCUUUAAACUUAGCUUCCUUUUUGGGAGAGCAGUUGCGCAAUCUUCAUCUCUUACCUCAUCCACCUUUUAAUAGUACAAUUUCGUCAACUAGCUAUACAUCUGAGGCUAUUCCUG
rnacentral:misc_RNA from 1 species